GUAAGCUCAGGCCUGAGACCACAGUAGGAAGGUUGAGUUCCCUAGUUAAGUCAUGCUGCUUUCCUUUCCUCGGGCCAUAGUCCCUGGAAAACUUAAUGAGCAUUUAUAAACCAUUUUGUGUAACUGCAUGGCUAAAAAAAAGUCAACUGAGAUGCUUUAUUCCAUUUGUAAAAAGACACUAGUGAAAAUGAGAACAUUGAUAUCUGCCUAGGCAUUUGGUGCCGAGGCCCAGGCGUUCUGCCUGGAGUCCGUCCACUGUCUACCCUCCAGAAACUCUACUGUCCCCAGAGCUUCUAGAGUCCUGUUGAUGCCGAAGCACAGAGUGCCUAGUAAGCACAGGACAAUAGGGUCUGGGCCUUGGAAUGUGUGCUCCUCACGUUACUGCACUUGUAACACGCCCCCUGGGUCAGCAGGUGGUGCUAGGGAGCCGCCCACGGU
rnacentral:lncRNA from 1 species